rnacentral:rRNA from 1 species
GACGUUAGCUGCAGAAGAAAGCACCGGCUAACUACCGUGCCAGCAGCCGCGGUAAUACGGAGGGUGCGAGCGUAAUCGGAAUUACUGGCGUAAAGACGCAUGCAGGUGGUUUGUUAAGUUCAGAUGUGAAAGACCCGGGGCGUCAACCUCGGAAUUGCAUUUGAAACUAGGCAAACUAAGAGUACUGUAGAGGGGGGUAGGAAGUUUCAGGUGUAGCGGUGAAAUAGCGUAGAGAUCUGAAGGAAUACCGGUGGCGAAGGCGGCCCCCUCGGACAGAUACUGACACUCAGAUGCGAAAGCGUGGGGAGCAAACAGGAUUAGAUACCCUGGUAG